AUGUCAGUAGGUCCUUUCGAAGAGCAAAACAGUCAGUAGCAUAUUUUAUUAACAAAAAAAUGAGCAAAGGAUUCAACUUAAUUAAUACAAAGCUUUCAAUCCCAUCUCUACAGCAGCUGAUCCCCAAUCAUUUCCAUGGUUAUGGCCACCAUUCAAACCUGCACGAUAAAGAGCUUGCUCUUCAUUUAAAACUGUUAAUAGACCUAGAAUGACGGGAACACCUGAAUCAAGGCCAACGCGCAUAAGACCAUGAACAACAGCUUCUGAAAUAUAUUCAAAAUGCAUGGUGGAACCUUUGAUUAAAACGCCAAUGCCAAUAACAGCAUCAUAUGUAUUGCGGGCGAUGGAAGCACGAAUACCUUGAGGAAGUUCCCAACUUCCCGGAACACUUUCAAUGUCAAUAUUCUCCAACUUCACAUCAUGUUUUUCUAUCAUGGUCUCAACGGCACCCUUAACAAGAGGCUCAAUGGCUUGAAGAUUCCAGCGGGCAUGGACAAUAAGAAUGCGCAAUUCUGGUCCCUAUAAAAAAAAUUGAUUAGAACUUUUGAAUUAACUAUUUUCACGAAAAAACUGCGUGAGAAAGAGGAGAAAUUUAAAAAAAAAAAGACCAAGCGCUUUUGUAAAUAGAACACUUAAGCAAUAAUUAUAUCGUGUAGAAAAUAAAAUAAAAUUCGGUAUUCAGAAGAAAAGGUUCAACUAAAAAAAAAAAACAUAUCGAACUUCUUUUCAUGGAUAUAAGUGAAAACAAGCAGCGCUAAAUAGGAAACGCAAAGAAAACACCGCAAGUUCAUAUUUUUGAUUCAUACCUUUAAGUCUGAAGGGUUAGGGCCUUUAAUACCACUGAACAUGAUUAUUUACUUGAUUAAAUAGUUGUGAAGACUAUACAGAAAAAUGCAGCAAGUUUGGUGUGCGUGUGCUUUAUAAGCUGCAGCAAGAACUGAUUUACAGAAUCAACAGAUCUAAUACUUAAGGUUCUAGAAAUGUUGAUUUCUAAUUAAUUUUUUAAUUUUAGUCAUGAAAUUACUAUCUGAUGAGGCAGGUAUAAUACUGGAACAUAGAUUACUAAUAGUCACCCCAUUAACGUCGUUUAUUAAUAUGUCGAGGCUGUCGUAGAUGCAAAUGUCUCAUUUUUACUAAACAGUUUGUUCAUUUGAACAAAAAGAAAGGAAAAAAUAAUGAAUAGUAUCAAUAAGCAAAACGAUGAAUACACACAUUUCCAAUUUUUUUUGAAGUUCGGAUUCAAAAACCGUUACAAUUUAAUAAAUGUCGAGUACAUUGAUUUAUACAGUAAUCAAAUAUUCAUUAAUUCUUAUUCAGAUCAUAAAGAGAAUUUCAUCCGAGAACGAAUGGCACACUAUGGGUUUCAUCACACAAUAUCAUAAUAGAAACAGAAACAAUAAGUAUUAAACCAGCGAAUGUAAGAAGAUUCAGAAAUAAAUCUUUUUAAUUACUAACCAAGCGCCUCCGUUCUAACCAGCGAGCCCAUGCUAAAUCCAAGGGUUAGUAUACAAUAAAUGUACAGAAGUUUAAGGAUGUAGAAAAGGUUAAGAAUGAAAGACUAAUAGAACAGUAAUGGAAACAAAAAUGUUUAAAAAAUAACGAAAGAUGUAAAUGUAGACCAACAAGCAGACCAUUUAAAAACAGUUUAU
rnacentral:lncRNA from 1 species